GUGCGUGUGCGUUGCGCGGGUUGUUCAAACGUGGAGUGACUGUAAGCCAUCCAUUCACGUGUCGACGCAGCGAGGAGGCGGUGGCUCAAUGAAUUUUAACGUCUGAGAAGUACAUGGACUGUAUGUGAAGGCAGGGAACCUGCUCUGCUGCUGUCAUCAUCGACCUCUGAUAUCACUUGGAGCAAGACAACCAACGAUAGCAGUGAUCUGACUCUGGAGUGGUAAGAAAGAGAGCAAGGGGAUGGCAAGACCCCGCAAGAAGGGGAGAAGGUUCUCAUCCCAGGAUGAGCCGCUGGGGGUGGUUCAUGUGUCUGCAGCCAGCAUCUGUGGUCACCGAUAAAACACAGCCUCUCCUGCUGCCGAAGCUCUGAGGGAGAACCCGUUUCAGGGCCAAACCCCUUGCCUGGGCUGCCUGGAGGAUGGAGGAGGCAGUCCCUGAGCCUUUGCCCAAGUUUCUUCUGAAUUUAAAUGCCAACUCAAGCAGGAGCCAGUUCUCUGCCCAGUGCCAGAUCACUCACCAGCCAGAUGGCACCUUCUGAAGCUCUUCCACCUUCAUACAAGCUUCAAGGGAUGCAGCGAAGGUGUUUGCAGCAUGAGAUUAUUCACUCGACGAUGUCACGACUCCCAAGUCUGAUGUCAUGGCUGUUUCCCACAGCAACCAAAUGGAAUCAAGGACAGCUUUGAAACCAGGAAUUAGAAACCAAGAGGAACUCAUACAGAGUGGCAACACAACACAGGAGUGCCGUGAAGCAAACCAUGCCCUGCACAUGGCCCAGGGUCUCAACACUCCCAGCUGGCGCAAUGCUUUCUCAGUGAGGAAUAGUGCAGCGUUGGAAGCUCAGCACCUUAGCAUUGCUGUGCUUUCUGAAUCCUGAGUGAAGGAUGCAAAAAUGUGGUGGCACUGCAGGACUGAUACCUCUGGGGACUGGGAGAGGCUCCUGCCUGAUGGGUGCGCAAUUGCUGAUGCUGUGAGAAGUGCUUGGCAGCAACUGGGUCAGGAUAAAGAGCAAGCAGUGUUAGUACUGCCUACUGUGGGGCAAGGAGGAGGAACUUGGCAGAACCCCAGGACCUGGCAGCACACUCCUGGCAGUUCAGGACCCACUACUUGCACCAAGGGUGCGCCAUUCUCCAAAUCACUGCUGCUCACAACACUCCUAAAGGUAAACUUGACUUGUGUUACUGUGUCCAUCGUUUGGGUACCCUGGAGGAAUCACUCCAGCUCUGUUCAACACCUGUGGCUGCAUAUGGACUUCUAAUUAGAAGAUGAAAAAAGAAGAGCAGCAUCAAGGGAAUCAAUCUCUUGGGACGUCCUGUGGUCUGAAUGUACAUCUUGUAUUGCUGAGAUAGGAGCUGGGGAUGCGGUGUGUAAAGAUGUGAAUUUUACAAGGAAAAAGAAUCAUCCAGGAGACCUCUGGGAAAUCACAGAAUGUGUGUACACCUCAUGGUCUCCUAGGAAAGCUGGCCUUCAGUAGAAAUUUUGCCAAGGUUUUGAAAGAUUUUAUUAGAAAAGAUUUGGAUCCUGCACAAUUAUCAGUUCUGAAAGGUGCUUUGCCCACCUCCUCCAGUGGAAGUGCUAUUGAUCAUCUCACAAAAGGAAGGCAUGCACUUACAGAGAGAAAAGUUGAGCACUGUUCUGCUUGGCCAGAUGAGCCACUGUUCUGCUCCAAUGCCUUGCACCAAGGGAAGUCACAUCCCAUGAGGAGCUGACUCUUUUUGGAGCCAUCACCUCAUUUCCUAUGCUGUGUGAUGCCUUCAGCCUCAGCCGUGGGGAAUGUGAUGCGCACCAGUGUUGACAGACUGGCCGGAAGACUGAGGUGUGAGACAAACCCAUGAGCUUCACACAGCCCAGCCGGAUCUAGACCAGCACGUGUGAGACACUGGAACAGUCUGCCCAGUGAGGUUGUGGAUACUCCCUCCCUGGGAGCACUCAGGGCCAGGCUGGACAGGGCUGUGAGCAACCUGGCCUAAUGGGAGGUGUCCUUGCCUAUAACAGGGGGGUUGGAAGUACAUGACCUCAAAUGUCCCUUCCAUUCUAUGGUUAUAGCUGUGUAGACAGGAGACAGCAAUCAUGGAUCAAUCUUUCCUCCCAGCAGCUCCCAGGCUCUCUCAGGAGCAGUAAGAGUGGUCUGCGUGUACUCAACAAGGCCAACUUUUCACACCCCAUUAGCCCAGAUGUGAUGAACCUCACUUCCCACAGCCAACUCUGCUGAUGGAGCUGACCAGGGUUUUUUUUUUUCCCAGCUGAACAGUCUUCUCUUAAAGAAAAGCAAAUUCAGCAAAAUAUUUUUUUUGUUGACAUUUUUAAUGGGAAAUUAUUGAAACAUUUCACUUCCAUUUUAGCAUUUGGCCAAUUCUGUCUCAUCUGGCAUGAAGUAAUCAAAAUCCAGCAGAGAAGCCCUUGCUGGAAUUACCUCUUUCAAUCAUUUAAAGCAGUUCCUCUUCAAGAAGGCUGCCCUGAGAUUCCCAAGCUGAAAUAGAAUGGGAUGGGAUGUUGCCUCUCACCCUACACUUUGACAGUGCUUUUCAUUUGUCUUGGGACUUUCCUCCACAUCACACAAAUAUUGCUCCAGAAAGCUGCAUUUCUAAGGAGGAAGUUGUCUUGUACCAACUGAUCAUAGACAGGAUGGUUUGACUAAAGGCAUGUAGAAGUUAACAGUUGCCACAGCAGAGCUCCUCAUGCAGCCAAGGCAAUGCAGAGAGGAGUUGACGAAGGGAGCCCUGUGUGGUUUUGUAGCGACAGAUUUCUUUGCAUAAUGCAUUUUGGGUGAAGCUUCAGGUUUAUUUUGUACUUAUCUGAUGUCAGAAAAGUACAUAUUAAGUCUUCAAAAAAAAAAAGUUUUUUGUAAUCAGCUUAUUGCAGCCUUCCAUGUAUAAUAACGCAGUUAUAUGGCAGUAAACCUGGAAUCCUACAGGAGUUUGUUGUAAAGUGACAGAUUCAGGUCAAAGCUGUUAAUGAGCAGCCAGGCUGAUGUGUGAUGCAUAAUGAAGAAGAAAAUGACAUUAUUGUUUUACAGGUGAGCUCAGAAAGUUAGGAUAUGCCAGGUCCAUUAGAGCAGCUGUGUAUCUUGAAGUUUAAUACCUUGCCUCUGGCCAGUACCUGAUAGUUCAGAAAAGUUUGGGCUAUUUUACUGCUGAUAACUAAAGAAGGCAUGCUGUAGAUACAUGUUUUUGGCUACAUAGCUCCCUCCUCCCUGGCAACAAUCCCUAAACGUCCCAGUUGACUCUUCUGCAGAUGCAGACUUUGAAGGGUGCUGAUAUGGGGUGGGUAUGACCACUCAGACUCGAAUUUCCUUCUUUGCUCUGCCACUAUGAGACCCUAUGCAGCUGUUUCAGUGUCUCUUCUGCCUCCUUUCUCAUCUGAAAUGAAUGCUUUUUGAGGAACAAGUUUCUCAUGUCCCUGUUGUCUAGCUGGCUAUUUUUUCCCUAAUGUUUCUUUGUAUUUAUUUUCAUUAACUGGAGCCUAUAAUGAAUGCACAAGUAAUAUUGGCCUGAAAAAAAAAACAACCAAAAAAACAACAAAACAUUGCUCACCCCAUGAGGAAUAUCAAAGUAGUAGAAAAGCACUUUGGAAAUGGGAAGAGAUGCAGAAAGACAAAAGCAAUCAUUUCUGUUCAGCAUUUCCUGGGGAGAGAGGGCAGCAAACAAAUACCCUAACAAACAGAUGACAGGCAGGUCCUCCUCUGUGAGACUGACCCUUAAAAAAUGAUUGGGAACUUCAGUUGGUGUCACAUGUGUUUUCUUCUUAAUUGGUGCUCUCCUGAGACACUUCUUGAAACGAGGUCUCCUUUUUGUUAAGUCUCUAAAAUGCCAUCCGCUCUCGUGUCUUGGUGCAUGACUGAGGUCCCCCAGUGCCACAGCUGAGAUAUUAAUUCUCAUUAAGAAGUGAUGCAAUUUGUGUCCAUUUGGAUACUUGCUGUGCUCUUCACUGGCUGCUCUGGGUGUGAUGUAGGAGUUCAUAUCAGUCUUAUGCCCACUGUCUGGGAUGACUGAACCCAACCCAGACACUGAAAUUAAAGAAGUAAUUCAGGCUAGCAAGUUGCUUUGGGAUCUCAGAGCUCCCAGGCCUUUAUGUCCCUGAGAUUUGGGAUUCUACUGGAACUCAACAUCCAUUACCAGUUAUUGACAGCUAUGGAUCUGAGCUAGAAAAAUACGUCGUGAUGAUCUUAACUCAUGGUUUUGAACAGUCCUUUUGACUCUCACACAUGGCGCACGCUCAGUAUUGCAAUCCACAGUGCUCAGCACCAGGCAGGACUGAGCCUCUCACUAAUCCUUCUAAACCCAAGUCUAUUGACUUUCAAAGCAAACCGCAAGGGCUUCUUAUCUACAUUUCCUGAGCAAGCUGCUUGCUUAGGCUGAGCCUUUUGCAUUAGUCUUCACCAGAGUUGAUUUUGAGCAGCGAACAUGAUUAGAUUUUCAUAUCAAGAGAGACUGAAAGCAUGGGGAUGGUUGCCAAAUAUCCAGGAGUAAGUCAGGAGCGAACUCCCUUCAUUGAAUAGUUUGUGAAAACACAGCAAGAUCAGAAUUAGUGCCCAAUCCCAACGCAGACAAUAUCCAGGUUUUGUUUUCUCACUCUGGAAUGAAACUUAACAGAACCCUGAGUCUGAGUGUCUUAGGGAAGCUUGAAAACCAGAUCUCAGUUGUUAGCUGCAUGACAUUUGUAUAAUCUGAUCCUGUCAUCACAUUGCAGAACAAGAUUCAGCCCGAAAUUACACCACAACCCAACUCAGACACUCUGCACGUUGUCAAGAAGCCUGCCCCAGAAAACAGGCUGAAAUAAGGAUUUUUUCUUCUCUAGAAUAUUUCUGUUACUGACUUCUCUUUGCACCAAAACCAGGCAAAGGCAGUGCUUUUGGGCUUGACCUGAGCAUUUGGGAUGUCUCAAGACUGAAACUAAAUCCACGCCAUGGUAGCACAUCGCUAUAUAUCUUUCUCAAGGUCAAUGCCUGUGAGAGUGGGGCACUCAGGCAACAAAACUGUCAGGGAAAAUAAAAGCUUAUCUGGAGCAGCACCUCCUGUCCUGAUGUCCCUCCUGUUGAUACAAUGGUCAGUCUGAUGGCUGAGACUAAAAAAUGGUGACAUAUAUUCAUGCAUAUAGAAAUGGUAUAUACAUGCGGUGUUUCUGGCUUCGUGACAUCAGGUCUCUUGAAUUCCUUGAAUUUAGCAGCACUUCUUUGCUCUGCUCCUGGCAGCAUCUUUGAGACCUCGUGACUUCAGAUCCCCUUGGCACGUCCUGUCCUAAAUGGCUCGGAGCACUCUGCAAAACCAUCAAAGCUGAACUCCUUUUUCCCGUUUCGACAAGUCUGUGUUCUAGAUGAGAUGAAUGACAGGUAUUCAAAACCAGGUGUGGCUCAGAUAAUUGAAAAGUAACGUGUACUUUUAGCUUCUAUUUCCAUACUGAAUAUUGAAAUAUUGAAUUUAAAAUUCUCUUUUUUUUUUCUUUUCUUUUGGGCUUUUUUUAGAAUUUCAGCCAAAAUAAUUCAGUUGGCCAUUUUCCACUGCAGGCUGUGGUGCUGGUAAUUCCCAGCACACCUCACAGCAAUGUAUCAUUGGCAAAAUCUUUCCUAAUAUAAGGUGUCUUUGUGAUUUUCUUGUUUCAUUUCUUUAUUCAACUAAAUUUGUUUGAAUUUUUCUGUGGCAUUAAAAUACUAUUUUGAGCUGUACUUACACAGUGUGUUUUGCAUACAGACUUAAUGGACUGGUGUUGUUCGUUAUUGAGCCAAAGCUGCUAAGAGGGAAGGGUCAGUGACAGGAUUGGUUUGGGGAGUAAAAGAGUCCUCCCUGUGCAGCGAGGUCAGUAAUCCAAUUUCUUUUGUGCCCAGCUGUAUCUCUUCAGGGUCACCUAAUCAGAUCCUUCUCCUCCACAGGCUCUGCUGCAGUGAUAAUUUUUUCUAGCAAUAAUACCUUUCGGAGUUCUCUUGGGGAGGGACCCAUGGCCUGUUUUUUCUAGGUCUCUCCAUGAGGUCAGGUUUCUUUCCUGCCUGUGUUCUGAGGAAAGCAAGCACUGAAGGGCAAUGGGAACCACUCAGUGGUUGCACUGCUCUACCACGCACCGCUAAUAAUGAGGGCACAGAAUGGUGUGGCUGGAUCCGUGAGCCCCAUGGAGAUGUAUCUCGUGGCACGAAGUUGUUCCUGGUGGUCAGGAUUGUUAUUGGCAGUUUUGAAUGUAAGGUUUGUUUUGUGCAUCCUGAGAGCACAGAUUGCACUGAGUUGUUUUUUUUCUUGUUACUUAAAAAAGGAAAGUCAUCUUGGCUUGAAGAGUGGACUUGUAUCGAGCACCCAUCUCAUGCCAGGAAAAGUCACAAGUUGGAAAUUCAAGAGGGGGAACUGAAAUUUCUAACAAGUUUUCUUAUAGAGAUUUUAGUCCUCACUGUUUUUCAAGUUUAUUUAAUUUACAGAAGAUUAAUAAUCCUGAUGACACUCAGAGAAGUUAGUUUAUGCUUAGAAAAAAAGAAAGAUUACUGGAAGAAGGUGCAGAGAAGAUGGGAGGGACUUCGUUGGUACGUGGUUUUGAGAAGGGAUCUUGAACAAAGACCAUGAUUUGUCCAGCAGGUCUGUUCCAAACCCUCCAGGCUGGAAGGAAUGUGGAAAUGUCUUGUUCAUGACCUCCUUAUGCUCUGUCUUAUCUCCCUCGUGCCUCUCCCCUGACACCUAACUGCUAUCUCCACCUCCUCUGUCUCUGCUUUCAGACAAGAACCUGCAGCACCUGAACCUUGUGUUGUUUUCCCUUUCAGCAAGAUCCAUCAAGGAAAGUGCUUUAGCUGGAGACAGGAGUGCAGUCUGGGUUGCCACUCAGCACUGAGAGCUGAGCAGUCGGGCUGGGGAUCUUGCAGUGUGCUCUAGUGCAGGAGAUGCCAUCUGCCAAAUGUCCUCCCGAGUGGUGUUUUAGCAAGUGGGCUAAAAAGAACAUCCUGUGCAUGGCAGCUGAAGUCCGUCACAGCUGUCACGGGAACAUGCAUGCACAGCCUGGGCUGGAGGUGGAUCUGGCUCUGCGGGGAGGCUGGGCACGUGGCCAACAAACCUCCCUUCUUUGCCCAUGUUUCCCUUAGGGGAAAGGAAACGCUGGCUUAGCAUGGCCUGAAAUUGCUCAGAGGAGCAGGAUAGCACUGAGAAGCAUUGGCAUUCUCGGGUGCAGCUCACCCAGGCAGACGCUGACACCUCUAACUGAGCUUGUGAGAGCCUUGUGGCCAGCCCUGACUUUUCUGAGGUCACAGUCAUGAGUACCACUGUCCCCAAAAGCAACACAUCUCCUGUGUUCUUUUCUGCAACAGCAAACAGGCUUUCUGAGAAGAGGAAAAUAAGAGAGGGAACAACAUUCAUCCUUUGUUUUCCCCCAUCAUCACCUCCACCUUACUUCUUGUGCACCCACCUCUGAUGCCUGCAGGACACGUCUGCUCCAGGACACGGCUGUUGGAGCUGCAGAGGGGAGGCUGGGGGUCAGCAGGGCCGUGCCCUUGGCUUCCGAGGAGGGCAGAGCUGCCGUGGUUCGGACCCUUCCUGAUGAUUUCAUGUGAGAGCUAAUUAAUGGCCUCCCCACGUCUCCAUAGCAACUCCAUGCUGUGCUCUUAGCCCUGAUCCAAAUGGGCAUUCUGUACACUUCUGAAGCCAUAGCAUCAGCAUAUUAAUAAGAUUUGCUGACGUCCUUUGCUUUCUGCCACAUCGGCUGGGAACUCUACAUUCGAACAACUUUUAAAAAGCACUUUUCUUAAUCAGCUCCUCAUCCAUUCUCUCAUGUGACUCAAAGCAACUGAUACCAGAAGUCUUCUGCAUUUGGGGGCUAAAAGGAGGUAGAGUCUGCUCUACCUGCUGGUGUUUGCCAUUCUUAGCCUUUAGGACAUCUGCUGUCUGGCUUUUCUUUCUGUCUUUCUCUGGAUUUUUUUUGAAGCUCCAGCUUUCACAGUCCCUAACUGCAGCAGGGGACAAGCAUCUGCCAUGCCUAUCUAUGUCCAUCUACCACCCCUGUAUUAGUUGGGAUGGACCAUCUCAGGGAUUGCUCCCUAUCUCCCGCUUGCAUGGGAGAAGGGAGCUGAGUUCCAUUCUUACCCAGUCAGACAAUGAUUACCCACAUCUAAAAGUCUGAGGAUCCCUUUUUAACGUUGUCCCAUACAGCAACAUCUACCAGCCAUGUUGCUUAGUGAUCCUAAUGUUAUAGGUGAAGGUACUCUCUCAGUGCAAUCUAAUUAUCCUCCAAUCUUACACUGUCUUGUAAAAUAUUUUUCUGGCCAGGUGGAGGACUUGGACAUGAUGUCCUCAAAAGACCAUUAAUACCACUGCAGCACCGGUGUGGCCUCUCUGGAGUGAUCUGAGCUACUGUCUCUUAUCAGAGCCAGAAGUAUAGGAGAUGACUGCAUUGCUUGCAAAUCAAAUACCCAAAAACAAAUCUGUGAAAUCUGGUUCUGGACCUUGUAGCCACAGGUCCUUCUUACUGAGUAAGGGUUGAUGGGACUGAGCAGUGGAAGUA
ensembl:lncRNA